UCAGCCAAGGUCCUACUAUGUCUUUGAGGAAAAGGGCAAACCAACUGUAAUUCACAUUCCCCUCUUCAACAUGGAUAACUGCAAAAAUCAAGAAACCAUUGAAAAGGAAAGGGAGAAAUACAAAACCUUCCAACUGCCCUACACAGACAAAGCAAAUAUUGAUCACUUGGCACAUCUGGCAGGACUAAAUGUGAGCAUGAACAAAGAUCACAUCCUGAAAGAGAUCAAAAAAGCUGUGCAGCGACGCAGUGCCCUAUGAAAAUGCCCUCAACGGCCUCUAAGGGGUUAACCACUUAUGCUUAAAACAUGCUUUUAAACGUAGUCACACCUGGCUGAUUUCCCUGUUUAAAAGAGAAAAUUAAUCAAACGCAUUUACAACUACCCUGCUCAUGCUGGCCUUUAACAAAUAUAUCAAAUACUCAUUUACAAAUACACUGAUCUUCUAGCAUUAUUAUAGCUUAAUAGGAUCCAGAGACCUACUUAUUUUGAGUAAAGAAAAUGGAAUCACAUUAUCUUUAUUUUUAUUUUACAUGAUAUGUGCUAUCAUGCUGAUACGAAGGAAGAAUGCACAGAAUCAGGACUGCUGUUAAUGCAGUCUAAGAGGGUGCUGGCUGAGAUGUGAUUUUUGCCUUGAAAAUUGGCUCUGUCAGAUCUAGUCAUUUCCCAAUAAUCACAUUGCAUUUUAAUAAAAGAAUAUCCUGA